rnacentral:rRNA from 1 species
CCUACGGGAGGCAGCAGUCGGGAAUAUUGCGCAAUGGAGGAAACUCUGACGCAGUGACGCCGCGUAUAGGACGAAGGUCUUCGGAUUGUAAACUAUUGUCGUUAGGGAAGAGAAAGGACAGUACCUAAGGAGGAAGCUCCGGCUAACUACGUGCCAGCAGCCGCGGUAAUACGUAGGGAGCAAGCGUUAUCCGGAUUUAUUGGGUUUAAAGGGUGCGUAGGCGGAUUUUUAAGUCAGCGGUAAAAUGUCCGGGCUCAACCCGGGCCGGCCGUUGAAACUGGGGAUCUUGAGUGGGCGAGAAGUAU